AUCAGUUCACUGAUGUCUCCAACCUAUCGGCUCCUUCCCCUAAUCCUGAUCCUCUUCUGCCUAACGCCGCGGGUGUCCGCCAUCAGCAGAGAUAAGCGCCCCUGAUCCCUCAGUCCAUCCUAGCUUGAUCUGCUCAGCCUUCGCCUUCCGUCGUGUCGCCGCCUCCGCCAUCACACCCGCCUCCUCUGCGAUGCUGCAUCGCACCCCAGGUCCCCACCCAUCUUUUCUCCUCUGCCCCGUUUGUGUCGUCGCUGAGUCGCGCCUCUGCGGGUCGGUGCUAGGGGAUUUGUUCCAUGCGACACUUGUUCGUCUCGCCUCGGCGUCAGGAAAGGAUUCCUCCUUAACCUCCUGUGCACCGCCACUAACCCACUACCGCGCCACCUGACCCAUCUCUCUCCACGGUGAGGCAAUGGCCGAGCGGCAGCGAUGCUAGGAGCCUGUAAAGGAGACAACACAAGUUUCCAUGGCCCUAGCCGUGCCCCCACGCUGCCGAGGAGGACGCACUGCGGCAGUGCGCUCGCUGCAAUGGUCAACAAGUUUGAAAGUCUGCGUGCUUCACUACUGCUUGUGGACUAACAUCAUUUGGCAGUGAAAUCCACAUUGUCUGAAACUGCAACUUAUUAUAGAAGCUCACAAGCUAUGGAUCAUCGUCAGCCGGGUAGUUGUCAUCAGGGUGCCAAGCCGCCAACCAUGCUGCCGCCGCAUUGGUGGAUGGUUCUGCUGGUGUGUCCCAUGGUGGCGAUGUUGAGGCUAAGGCGUGGGUGGGUGUGCCUGGUCUUUUCGCUCAUGGUGGCUACGCCGAGGCACGGGUUGUUGCGCCUGAUCAUGUCGCUCAUGGUGGCGAUGGUGACGUGUGUGUGUGUGGAUGUGCUUGCUCUUUUCGAGCAUAGUGACGUCGUUGAGUGUUACCACCAAAAGAAAAGGAUUAAUACCUCUGCAGGUGCUUAUCUAUUUGGGUUUUGGGAUUUGAUGCAUAUGUACCAUGGGUAAGCCCACGAUUCUCAAAACUCCAACCAAGUUGUACUUUAUUUAUUACAAAUUGUUCUUUGACUGUACUUAUGCAAUUGAAUUGGCAACAUUUCACUAUGUAGCAAUGGAAUAUGACAAAUAAAUAGAAAUUCUAUUUCAUCCGGUAUACCACAAAUUGUCACCAGCAGAACAUGAAGUUAUAUCUUCUCUCUCCCAAUCUUUGUUGAAUUUUAUGAAAAUUCUUUAUCUUAUAUUGUAUUACCUCCCGUAAAUUUGUAACAAUUGGUAGUGGAUGGCAGGAUGUUUUUUAAUUGUCCUCUGAAUUUAGGCAAAGGUUAUUUUUAGGAGAUCUUGAAAGGGAAUUUUGUCUCCUAGAGUUAGUGAUUGCUGGUUAUGUUGUUUAGUUACCAUGAAUCCUCUAGCCUAUAGAAUACUACUUUCACAUUGUCAAAUUAAAUUUCUCCUUUGUGGAUAAGUAAAGGUAAAAUAAUGCUACAAAUUUGACUUGUAAUUUGAAGGUCAUAUUGCCAACAUUUUCCAUGGGAGGUAUAAACUAAUCCGAAUUUCUACAAUUUUAUUAGCUUAAUACUAGAAGUCAAGUUUACUUCCAAACACUUUUAGUUAUCUAGACAACAAGUUUUCCAGUUUAAGGAAUCAUGGGCUAGCUAAGGAAAUAAAGAAAUGCAAGAUUACUGUCGCUAAUCAUUAUUAUGUUAAAUUUCACAAUGCUUAGAAAUUGCGUUGUACUAUGUUUCACGAUACAUGAAAACUGGCAACAUGUGAAUAUAUAGUGUGGGAACUUCUGAAAGAAGUUACUGCAGAGCUAAAGUGUAGGCUUAUAUAUUCAGCUAAUGGAUUUGUGUUUCUUUUAUUGAAUGUUCCACUUGAUGUCUGACAACUCCAUUUGUGGCGCACCCAACCACCAACUUUGGACUGUGCAUUUGUCUUAAACAUGGGAAGAUGGUGUUGGAUCUCCAAUUGGUGGUGUUGGGGCAGCCUACAACAACAAAGCCUUUAGUCCCAAACAAGUUGGGGUUAGGCUAGAGGUGAAACCCAUAAGAUCUUGCGGCCAACUGAUGGCUCUGGCACAUGAAUAGCAAGCUACACGGUGCAAAUCUAGAAUUGGAUGGAAUUGUAGAAGAGAGUGCACAUCUACUAGAUGGGCUCGUUGCUGUCAUUUCUUUAGGUGUUCGCCGACCAGAUUGUAGCUGUGGAGGCGGCCUAACAACUUAUGCUCCUUUGAUGGAUGCAGAUUAUAACAUGAGCCAACGCUAUGGCUCAUGUUCAACGGUUUGUCCUCUUGUGCCAAUCUGCGACAUGGCGUUGUUCAAAAGUCAUCUUGGUAACUAAAGGGGUGUUGAAGGCUUCUCCGAGCUGCAGGGUCUGCCUAGAAGUAUUCUGGACUUCAUCAUCGGAAUUACUGUCUAUAAUGUUGUGAAUUUUCUAUCAUCGUACGUAGUAUCAUCAAGUUAGCUGAUCUUUGAUUUUCACUAUUACCGUGGAUGUUCUACUAUAUAAAAAAUCUGCAAUGUCAGCAUGCUACUCCAGAUGCCAUUUCAUACUAUUUCUAAAGUGUGUUGUCCAUUCACUUCAGGCUAGAAUCUUA